ACCCGAGUGGCGAAACGGUAAACGCGCUGAAUUCAAAAUUCAGUUUUUUAAGGGUUCAAAUCCCUUCUCGGGUA
rnacentral:tRNA from 1 species